CUCGUAGGCGGCCAACUAAGUCAGACGUGAAAUCCCUCGGCUUAACCGGGGAACUGCGCCUGAUACUGGAUGGCUAGAGGUUGGGAGAGGGAUGCGGAAUUCCAGGUGUAGCGGUGAAAUGCGUAGAUAUCUGGAGGAACACCGGUGGCGAAGGCGGCAUCCUGGACCAAUUCUGACGCUGAGGAGCGAAAGCCAGGGAGCAAACG
rnacentral:rRNA from 1 species